GACGAACCGUGCGAACGUUAUUCGGAAUCACUGGGCUUAAAGCGCGUGUAGGCGGGACGGCACGUCGGUCGCUGAAAUCCCCCGGCUUAACCGGGGAACUGGCGUCGAUACGACCGCCCUGGAGGGGCGUAGGGGGACCUGGAACUUCCGGUGGAGCGGUGAAAUGCGUUGAGAUCGGAAGGAACGCCCGUGGCGAAAGCGAGGUCCUGGACGCCUACUGACGCUGAGACGCGAAAAGCGUGGGGGAGCAAACAGGG
rnacentral:rRNA from 1 species